GGCUCAGGAUGAACGCUAGCGGCAGGCCUAAUACAUGCAAGACUAGGGGGCAGCAAUGUCACCGUCGCACGGGUGCGUAACGCGUAUGCAACCUACCUAUCACAGGGGGAUAGCCUUUGGAAACAGGGAUUAAUACCGCAUAAAGCAGGGGGCUCCGCAUGGAGAUAUUGCUAAAGAUUUAUCGGUGAUAGAUGGGCAUGCGUCUGAUUAGUUAGAUGGUGGGGUAACGGCCUACCAUGGCGAUGAUCAGUAGGGGGCGUCAGAGCGUGGUCCCCCACACUGGCACUGAGAUACGGGCCAGACUCCUACGGGAGGCAGCAGUAGGGAAUAUUGGGCAAUGGAUGCAAGUCUGACCCAGCCAUGCCGCGUGAAGGAAGAAGGUCCUCUGGAUUGUAAACUUCUUUUAUCGGGGAAGAAGAAUCGCCUUGCGAGGUGAAGUGACGGUACCCGAUGAAUAAGCCACGGCUAACUACGUG
rnacentral:rRNA from 1 species